CAAUAGCGUAUAUUAAAGUUGUUGCAGUUAAAAAGCUCGUAGUUGGAGUUCAGAGUGAGCUCGUCCGGUCGGCCUUAUGGGUCAGAACUGGUUGACUCUCUCUUGUUUGUGGAUCCUGUUCGGAGUUAAUUCUUCGGAUGUGGAGUCCACAUCGUUUACCUUGAAAAAAUUAGAGUGUUCAAAGCAGGCGUUUGCUUGAAUAUAUUAGCAUGGAAUAAUGGAAUAGGACGCUGGUUCUAUUUUGUUGGUUUCUAGAACUAAAGUAAUGAUUAAUAGGGAUAAUUGGGGGCAUUCGUAUUAUCGCGUCAGAGGUGAAAUUCUUGGAUCGCGAUACGACGAACAACUGCGAAAGCAUUUGCCAAGGAUGUUUUCAUUGAUCAAGAACGAAAGUUAGGGGAUCGAAGACGAUUAGAUACCGU
rnacentral:rRNA from 1 species